CCCCCAAAAAAAAAGAAAAAGAAAAAAUGAAGAACACGAAAACCAGCAUAAAACCCAAAAAUUUCCAAAUCAGUCUCAAGAACCUUCCUCCUCUAGAUCCUUCAAUCGUCUCUCCCCUCUAUCAGGAUAAGUAUGAGAACCCCAGUUCCAGAAACCAACCUAUUGUCGCGAAUCCAAGCUCCGAAUUCCAUGGGAAAACUGAUUCUGCUGACGGAAAUUCAAGACCGGGUCUGGAGGUUGAGGAAUGUUUUUGUUUAGCUUCAACCAACUUAAAACAUCCGAACAACACCUUCAACAAGGAGAUUCAGAUUCGCCAUCGCCAUGCUAAUUUGGUUGUUCCAGAUGGUCCCAAGAAGGCAUCAGCCAAAUCAAAGUUGCAUGAUAUAUGUGCUGCAAACAAUUGGAAACAUCCUUUGUAUGAAUGUUGCAAGGAGGAAGGCGCUUCCCACAUGAAAUUAUUCACAUUCAAAGUUGUUGUUGAGAUGCGAGAAGAAACAUCGACGACAAUUUUGGAGUGCUUUAGUGAACCCCGGCCAAAGAAGAAAAUGGCGGCCGAUCAUGCAGCUGAGGGUGCGUUGUGGUAUUUGAGACAUAUUGGGUGUUUGCUUUCAAAACCCUCUUGAUUCAUUGAAACUACAAAGCACACGCACCAUUUGGUCCUUGCCUUGUGUCUCUAACAUAUAAGGGUUUGAAUGAUUACUUACACCAUGUGUUUAAUAAUGGCUUUCUUUUCUGGGUAAGGCCCUUGCAAAACCAGGUUGUAUUAUCAAUCUGCUUGUGUUCAUUCCGGUGCUUUUUGCUUCAUCCGUACUGUUGUGCUAAAGCUUGUGGCCACAUUGUGUGUCACAACCUAGUUAGUAUAGGCAAUCCUAUAUCGAUGAUAACAAAAUGUGCCUAUAUAAAAUCGUCAUACAUGAACAAAUUUUGACUAUUAGUAAAAGUAAGCGGUAAUAUAUGAUAAAUUAUUUAUAGUGAAUAAAAAUCAAACUAUUGAUUAAAAAAAACUAUAAUUAGAAAACUAUAAUCAUAAAGAAGGCUUGUUAUUGUUUUAUAUGCAUUCAAUGUAAAUAUCAAAGAUGCAUUCAAAGCUAUUUUUGAGAAACUAGAGAUUUACAUUGAUUGUAUUUUUAUAAGUCAUUUUACGAUUAA